CGUGGUUGGAAAUGCACCGUACCCUCUCGAAACCCAACCAUCAUGUUGAAUAUACAACCCUCGUUAUAAACAAAACAACAGAGAGCGAGAGAGAGAGAGAGAGAGAGAGAGUUGAAAAGCUAGAUGAUAUGUUUUAGAGGUGAACAUUCAAUCCUCACUGUUUCCUGUCAUACGGCUCACUUAAAAGAGUUUUGAAACCGCCUCAUUUUGGAGUUCAUGACUUAACAUGAU